rnacentral:tRNA from 1 species
GGAGGAAUAGCUCAGUGGUAGAGCACAUGCUAAGCAUGCACAAGGUCCUGUGUUCAAUCCUCACUACCUCCA